GUGCAUUCAGACCUCACACACCGGAUGCUCAAGGCAGUUGUGGUGUAUUAGAGAUGGAGUUCCCAUUGACAAACAUUAUACGACUGACAGACCGCAACGGUUGGAGUUAAAAAUCAUCAUUUGUGUUCUACUGAAGAAACAAAGUCACCUACAUCUUGGAUGCCCUGGGGGUGUUUUAGGAGAAACAUCAGGAAGAAAAUGGAUUCUGCAAUAACAUUGUCCUCUCAACGUGGAUUUAUUUUUGAAAGUCAGACAC